AGAGUUUGAUCAUGGCUCAGAAUGAACGUUGGCAGCGUGGAUUAGGCAUGCAAGUCGAACGAAUCCCGUAGCAAUACGGGGGAAGUGGCGAAAGGGGCAGUAAGGCGUGGACAACCUGCCCCGGGCUCCGGGAUAGCCUUCCUAACGGAUGGGUAAUACCGGGUACGCUCCCCUGAAGACAUCUUCGGGGGAGGAUAGUUCCGACGGCCCGGGAGGGGUUCACGUGAUAUUAGCUAGUUGGUGAGGUAACGGCUCACCAAGGCCGAGAUGUCUAGCAGGUGUGAGAGCACGACCUGCGCCACUGGCACUGGGACGCUGGCCAGACGCCUACGGGAGGCUGCAGUCGAGGAUCUUCGGCAAUGGGCGCAAGCCGGACCGAGCGACGCCGCGUGAGCGAUGAAGGCCUUCGGGUCGUAAAGCUCUGUCGUGGGGGAGAAAAGGGUUAAACCAUGAUCGACCCCAGGAGGAAGCACGGGCUAAGUUCGUGCCAGCAGCCGCGGUAAUAC
rnacentral:rRNA from 1 species